GACGAACGCUGGCGGCGUGCCUAAUACAUGCAAGUAGAACGCACAGUUUAUACCGUAGCUUGCUACACCAUAGACUGUGAAUUGCGAACGGGUGAGUAACGCGUAGGUAACCUGCCUGGUAGCGGGGGAUAACUAUUGGAAACGAUAGCUAAUACCGCAUAAUAUUGAUUAUUGCAUGAUAAUUGAUUGAAAGAUGCUAUUGCAUCACUACCAGAUGGACCUGCGUUGUAUUAGCUAGUAGGUGAGGUAACGGCUCACCUAGGCGACGAUACAUAGCCGACCUGAGAGGGUGAUCGGCCACACUGGGACUGAGACACGGCCCAGACUCCUACGGGAGGCAGCAGUAGGGAAUCUUCGGCAAUGGACGAAAGUCUGACCGAGCAACGCCGCGUGAGUGAAGAAGGUUUUCGGAUCGUAAAGCUCUGUUGUAAGAGAAGAACGGGUGUGAGAGUGGGAAGUCCACACUGUGACGGUAUCUUACCAGAAAGGGACGGCUAACUACGUG
rnacentral:rRNA from 1 species